rnacentral:rRNA from 1 species
AAGAAAGUAAGAAAGAGUAUACGGGGGAUGCCUUGGCUCUCAGAGGCGAUGAAGGACGUGAUAAGCUGCGAUAAGCUACGGGGAUUAGCAAAUAUGACGUGAUCCGUAGAUUUCCGAAUGGGGCAACCCGGCAUGUUGAAGACAUGUCACCGAAAUGGAGCAAACCUGCCGAACUGAAACAUCUAAGUAAGCAGAGGAAGAGAAAAUAAUAAUGAUUUCCUAAGUAGUGGCGAGCGAAAGGGAAAGAGCCCAAACCAGUUAUGUUACGGCAUAACUGGGGUUGUAGGACUACGAUGUGGUAUAAUAAAAUGAACUGGAAUGGGAUGGGAAGCCCAGCGAUACACGGUGAUAGCCCGGUACAGGUAAGUAAUAUUAACCUAGUAGUAUCCUGAGUACCGCGAGGUCGGAGACGCCUUGUGGGAAUCUGCCAGCACCAUCUGGUAAGGCUAAAUACUCCUGAGAGACCGAUAGUGAACCAGUACCGUGAGGGAAAGGUGAAAAGAACCCCGAACAGGGGAGUGAAAUAGAACCUGA